UACGGAGGGGGCUAGCGUUGUUCGGAAUUACUGGGCGUAAAGCGCACGUAGGCGGCUUUGUAAGUUAGAGGUGAAAGCCCGGGGCUCAACCCCGGAAUUGCCUUUAAGACUGCAUCGCUAGGAUUGUGGAGAGGUAAGUGGAAUUCCGAGUGUAGAGGUGAAAUUCGUAGAUAUUCGGAAGAACACCAGUGGCGAAGGCGACUUACUGGACACAUAUUGACGCUGAGGUGCGAAAGCGUGGGGAGCAAACAGG
rnacentral:rRNA from 1 species